GUAGGGAAUAUUGCACAAUGGGCGAAAGCCUGAUGCAGCAACGCCGCGUGAGCGAUGAAGGCCUUCGGGUCGUAAAGCUCUUUUCUGGGAGAUGAGAAAGGACAGUAUCCCAGGAAUAAGUCUCGGCUAACUACGUGCCAGCAGCCGCGGUAAAACGUAGGAGGCAAGCGUUAUCCGGAUUCACUGGGCGUAAAGCGCGUGCAGGCGGUUUGGUAAGUUGGGCGUGAAAUCUCCCGGCUCAACUGGGAGGGGUCGUUCAAUACUACCAGACUCGAGAGCGAUAGAGGAAAAUGGAAUUCCCGGUGUAGUGGUGAAAUGCGUAGAUAUCGGGAGGAACACCAGUGGCGAAAGCGAUUUUCUGGAUCGUUUCUGACGCUCAGACGCGAAAGCUAGGGUAGCAAACGGGAUUAGAAACCCCAGUAGUCC
rnacentral:rRNA from 1 species